UACGAGUGGUGCUAGCGUUAUUCGGAAUCAUUGGGCGUAAAGGGCGCGUAGACGGCUUGUUAAGUUUGCUGUUAAAUCCUUCGGCUUAACCGAAGACCAGCAGUAAAUACUGGCAAACUAGAGGAUGGAAGAGAGAAGUGGAAUUCUCGGAGUAGCGGUAAAAUGCGUAGAUCUCGAGAGGAACACCAAUGGCGAAGGCAGCUUCUUGGUCCAUUCCUGACGUUGAGGCGCGAAAGCGUGGGGAGCAAACAGG
rnacentral:rRNA from 1 species